AGAGUUUGAUUCUGGCUCAGGAUGAACGCUGGCGGCGUGCUUAACACAUGCAAGUCGAACGGAAGUUUAACGCUGACGAGACUUCGGUCAAAUCUUGUUAAACUUAGUGGCGGACGGGUGAGUAACGCGUGGGUAACCUGCCGUAUGCAGGGGGACAACAGUUGGAAACGACUGCUAAUACCGCAUAAGCGCACGGUUUUGCAUGAAACAGUGUGAAAAGAUUUAUCGGCAUACGAUGGACCCGCGUUUGAUUAGCUAGUUGGUGAGGUAACGGCCCACCAAGGCUACGAUCAAUAGCCGGCCUGAGAGGGCAAUCGGCCACAUUGGGACUGAGACACGGCCCAAACUCCUACGGGAGGCAGCAGUGGGGAAUAUUGCACAAUGGGGGAAACCCUGAUGCAAGCGACGCCGCGUGAGUGAAGAAGUAUUUCGGUAUGUAAAGCUCUAUCAGCAGGGAAGAUGAUGACGGUACCUGACUAAGAAGCCCCGGCUAACUACGUGCCAGCCGCCGC
rnacentral:rRNA from 1 species